AGGGUUUGAUCUGGCUCAGAUUGAACGCUGGCGGUAUGCUUAACACAUGCAAGUCGAACGGAAACGAUACUAGCUUGCUAGUAGGCGUCGAGUGGCGGACGGGUGAGUAACGCGUAGGAAUCUGCCUGAUAGUGGGGGAUAGCCCGAAGAAAUUCGGAUUAAUACCGCAUAAUCUAUUCGUAGUAAAGUGGGGGACUUUCGAGCCUCACGCUAUCAGAUGAGCCUGCGUAAGAUUAGCUUGUUGGUAGGGUAAAAGCCUACCAAGGCGACGAUCUUUAGCUGGUCUGAGAGGAUGAUCAGCCACAUCGGGACUGAGACACGGCCCGAACUCCUACGGGAGGCAGCAGUGGGGAAUAUUGGACAAUGGGGGCAACCCUGAUCCAGCAAUGCCGCGUGUGUGAAGAAGGCCUGAGGGUUGUAAAGCACUUUCAAUUGUGAAGAAAAGUUAGCGGUUAAUAACCGUUAGCCUUGACGUUAACUUUAGAAGAAGCACCGGCUAACUCCGUGCCAGCAGCCGCGGUAAUACGGAGGGUGCAAGCGUUAAUCGGAAUUACUGGGCGUAAAGCGUGCGUAGGCGGUUUAUUAAGUCAGAUGUGAAAGCCCCGGGCUUAACCUGGGAACUGCAUUUGAAACUGGUCAACUAGAGUAUGGUAGAGGAAAGUGGAAUUUCUGGUGUAGCGGUGAAAUGCGUAGAUAUCAGAAGGAACAUCAAUGGCGAAGGCAGCUUUCUGGACCAAUACUGACGCUGAGGUACGAAAGCGUGGGUAGCAAACAGGAUUAGAUACCCUGGUAGUCCACGCCGUAAACGAUGAUAACUAGCCGUUGGGGGGAUUUACCCUUUAGUGGCGAAGCUAACGCGUUAAGUUAUCCGCCUGGGGAGUACGGCCGCAAGGUUAAAACUCAAAGGAAUUGACGG
rnacentral:rRNA from 1 species